CCUACGGGUGGCAGCAGUGGGGGAUAUUGGACAAUGGGGGGAACCCUGAACCAGCGACGCCGCGUGAGUGAAGAAGGAUCUCGGUAUGUAAAACUCCAUCAGCAGGGAAGCAGAAAUGACGGUACCUGAGUAAGAAGCCCCGGCUAACUACGGGCCAGCAGCCGCGGUAAUACGUAGGGGGCAAGGGUGAUCCGGAAGUACGGGGUGUAAAGGGAGAGUAGGGGGUGAGGUAAGUCUGGAGGGAAAGGCGGGGGCCCAACCCCCGGACCGCCUUGGAAACUGGGUGACUUGAGUGAAGGAGAGGUGAGCGGAAUGCGUAGUGUAGCGGUGAAAUGCGUAGAUAUUAGGCGGAACACCAGUGGCGAAGGCGGCUUACUGGACUGUAACUGACGUUGAGGCUCGAAAGCGUGGGGAGCAAACAGGAGUAGAUACCCGAGUAGUC
rnacentral:rRNA from 1 species